UACGUAGGGUGCAAGCGUUGUCCGGAAUUAUUGGGCGUAAAGAGCUCGUAGGCGGUUUGUCGCGUCUGCUGUGAAAACUGGAGGCUCAACCUCCAGCCUGCAGUGGGUACGGGCAGACUAGAGUGCGGUAGGGGAGAUUGGAAUUCCUGGUGUAGCGGUGGAAUGCGCAGAUAUCAGGAGGAACACCAAUGGCGAAGGCAGAUCUCUGGGCCGUAACUGACGCUGAGGAGCGAAAGCAUGGGGAGCGAACAGG
rnacentral:rRNA from 2 species